GACUAGGCGUCGGUGGUUUAAUCACCAUCGGUGUCCAAGCUAACGCGAUAAGUCUACCGCCUGGGGACUACGGCCGCAAGGUUAAAACUCAAAGGAAUUGACGGGUCCCCGCACAAGCAGCGGAGCGUGUGGUUUAAUUCGUUGCUACACGAAGAACCUUACCUGGGUUUGACAUAGCAGUGGUAGGGAAGCGAAAGCAGACCGACCCUUCGGGGAGCUGUUACAGGUGUUGCAUGGCUGUCGUCAGCUCGUGUCGUGAGAUGUUCGGUUAAGUCCGCUAACGAGCGCAACCCGCGUUGUGUGUUACAAGUGUCACACAAUACCGCCGGUAUUAAGUCGGAGGAAGGUGCGGAUGACGUCAAGUCAGCAUGACCUUUAUAUCCAGGGCUACACACACGCUACAAUGGUCAGCACAAUAGGUUGCCAAGUCGUGAGACGGAGCCAAUCCUCCAAAGCUGGCCUCAGUUCAGAUUGUAGGCUGCAACCCGCCUGCAUGAAGUUGGAGUUGCUAGUAACCGCAGGUCAGCUAUACUGCGGUGAAUACGUUCCCGGGGUAUUGUACACACCGCCCGUCAAGUCAUGGGAGCUGGCAACACCUGAAGCCGGUAUCCUAACCCGCAAGGGAGGGAGCUGUCGAAGGUGGGGUCGGUGACUGGGACUAAGUCGUAAC
rnacentral:rRNA from 1 species